rfam:Felis catus isolate Cinnamon breed Abyssinian chromosome A1, whole genome shotgun sequence.
AUGCUCACUUCAACAGCACAUAUGCUGAUAUUGGAAUGAUACAGAGAAGGUUAAUGUGACCCCUGUGCAAUCAUGACACAUAAAUUUGUGAAGUGUUCCAAUUUUUU